GCAUUACUCUCUCUGAUCCAUAUUAUUUGUCUUAGAUUUUUCUAGGUACGGAUGUAUAUAGACAUUUCUUAGUGUUAGAUACAUCCGUAUCCAAAUAAAUCUAAGACAAGUAAUAUGGAUCGGAGGGAGUACUAC
rfam:Triticum aestivum genome assembly, contig: Triticum_aestivum_CS42_TGACv1_scaffold_222265_3B